rnacentral:rRNA from 1 species
GUCGAACGAUGAACCGCUUUCGGGCGGAGAUUAGUGGCGAACGGGUGAGUAACACGUGGGCAAUCUGCCCUGCACUCUGGGACAAGCCCUGGAAACGGGGUCUAAUACCGGAUAUGACUGUCCAUCGCAUGGUGGAUGGUGUAAAGCUCCGGCGGUGCAGGAUGAGCCCGCGGCCUAUCAGCUUGUUGGUGAGGUAGUGGCUCACCAAGGCGACGACGGGUAGCCGGCCUGAGAGGGCGACCGGCCACACUGGGACUGAGACACGGCCCAGACUCCUACGGGAGGCAGCAGUGGGGAAUAUUGCACAAUGGGCGAAAGCCUGAUGCAGCGACGCCGCGUGAGGGAUGACGGCCUUCGGGUUGUAAACCUCUUUCAGCAUGGAAGAAGCGAAAGUGACGGUACCUGCAGAAGAAGCGCCGGCUAACUACGUGCCAGCAGCCGCGGUAAUACGUAGGGCGCAAGCGUUGUCCGGAAUUAUUGGGCGUAAAGAGCUCGUAGGCGGCUUGUCACGUCGGUUGUGAAAGCCCGGGGCUUGACCCCGGGUCUGCAAUCCAUACGGGCAGGCUACAAUUCGGGAGGGGACAUCGGAAUUCCCGGUAUAGGGGUUAAAUGCGCCAAAAUUCAGGAGAAAUGCGGUCGACCAAGGCGCCACUCUGUGCAGAUCCGGAACCUCAGGAGCAAAUCCUGUGGAGCCAAAACGAUUAGAUACCCG